rnacentral:misc_RNA from 1 species
CAAGUGACCCCGGUCUAACCACCGGGAUGUUCAUAACCCUUUGUUGUCCGACUCUGUUGCCUCCGGGGCGACCCUGCCUUCGGGCGGGGGCUCCGGGUGGACACUUCAAACUCUUGCGUAACUUUGCAGUCUGGGUAAACUUAAUUAAUAAAUUA